rnacentral:rRNA from 1 species
CCUACGGGAGGCAGCAGUGGGGUNUNUUGGACAAUGGGCGCAAGCCUGAUCCAGCCAUGCCGCGUGUGUGAAGAAGGCCUUAGUGUUGUAAAGCACUUUCAGUGGGGAGGAAGGGUNUUNUGUUAAUAGCACGNCAUUUUGACGUUACCCACAGAAGAAUCACCGCUAACUNCACUGG